AAUUUCGUAAUGCUCACGGUUUGCCCGAGCUCGGUGGUGCGAGCUCCUUGCCCCAGCCGCAGAGCAAUGGUUUGGCUGAGAAGCUAAACACAGAACACUAUUGGGGGGCACGGCUAAAUCUUUAGAAGGAUGUUAGCUCGGUUCUAAAUUAAGUCGCACUGAUGGUUCUACAAAGACAGGCUUUGGGCUUUGUGGAAGUCCAUUAACCAAUAUAAUAGCCGUACGUCACCGUAGAUCUGUCAUGUGGCUCAUCAAUUCUAACAAAGGAGCCCUUGAAUGGCCAACUCCCUGAUUAUCUCUCCUUAGCCUUCGCCGGGGUGGUGUCCGGCCAAUUUUUU
rnacentral:lncRNA from 1 species